UCAAGAAUCAUACACUCCUCUGGAGUCCUUU
rnacentral:piRNA from 1 species